rnacentral:rRNA from 1 species
GACGAACGCUGGCGGCGUGCCUAAUACAUGCAAGUCGAACGCUUCUUUCCUCCCGAGUGCUUUCACUCAAUUGGAAAGAGUAUUUGCGGACGUGUGAGUAACACGUGGGUAACCUACCCAUCAGAGGGGGAUAACCCUUUGAAACAGGUGCUAAUACCGCAUAACAGUUUAUGCCGCAUGGCAUAAGAGUGAAAGGCGCUUUCUGGUGUCGCUGAUGGGUGGACCCGCGGUGCAUUAGCUAGUUUGUGAGGUAACGGCUCACCAAGGCCACGAUGCAUAGCCGACCUGAGAGGGUGAUCGGCCACACUGGGACUGAGACACGGCCCAGACUCCUACGGGAGGCAGCAGUAGGGAAUCUUCGGCAAUGGACGAAAGUCUGACCGAGCAACGCCGCGUGAGUGAAGAAGGUUUUCGGAUCGUAAAACUCUGUUGUUAGAGAAGAAAAAGGACGUGAGUAACUGAACGUCCCCUGACGGUAUCUAACCAGAAAGCAACGGCUAACUACGUG